rnacentral:lncRNA from 1 species
GCAAGUACUUAGAUUGGAUUGAUCACUAGACUGUCUCAUCAUAGAAGCAAGAAGGAUUUAAAGGUUCUCUCUUUUUAUUUGAUGGGGUACUCUUAUGGUAUGUAGGAGUGCUAUGUGAUUAGAUCCCAUAAAGAAGAAUGCGAAAGGAAGAACUUAUUUUUCUACAAAAUCCUAGAUCUUGAAAUCUUAGGUUUGUUGUAUGUGAUGCAAAAUUGUAUAAAAAAUAAAAUAUCUAAUCUAUAUG